UAUGGAAUUGUCCAGCCGCCGCGGUAAUACGUAGGGAGCAAGCGUUGUCCGGAUUUACUGGGUGUAAAGGGUGCGUAGGCGGAUUGGCAAGUCAGAAGUGAAAUCCAUGGGCUUAACCCAUGAACUGCUUUUGAAACUGUUAGUCUUGAGUGAAGUAGAGGUAGGCGGAAUUCCCGGUGUAGCGGUGAAAUGCGUAGAGAUCGGGAGGAACACCAGUGGCGAAGGCGGCCUACUGGGCUUUAACUGACGCUGAGGCACGAAAGUGUGGGUAGCAAACAGG
rnacentral:rRNA from 1 species